CACAUUAUCCUCUUUCUCUCCAUUAUUAGCCCUAAUCGUGGAUGAAAUUAGGGCAGGUAUCUGCGCCUCUCUUCUACUACAGAUCAGAGGAGAUCUCUUCCCUUAAUUAUCCUAUUUCGUUACCAUAUUAUCCCGCGAUCUUCUCUUCUCAUUGGCGAAUUGGGCAAAAAAGAAACUAGAAAACAUUCUUUUCGAGCAUCGGCGAAUUGAAGACGCUUUAAUUCCUCAUACGUUACAAAUAUUCCCCUACAUAAACACUUACAUAGGUCAUCAUCUUACCGUGUUUCAGACGCAUGCUCUAGGUUUCAACUGUUCUUUUGGGAAAAGAGGAGCCAUCCAUCUUAGUCCAUACUCUUUCACUGAUUUCAAAUGGGUUCCCAGAUUGUGAACAACCCUUCCACAUGCCAGGAAAAAAACCUACAAAACCUUCUCCCAUGUUGGUGAGGCCGAAGAAGGCACAAAUUGGAUGACCCGUGUUCGAAUAUCAAGAAAGUGAAAGGCACAAAAUGGAUGACCCGUCUUGUCGGUGCAGGGUUCUUGCUGCCGCGCAACGGCCACAACAUCUAUAAAAUUAGUCUAAGUUUAGUUGCCUACUCCCUGAAGAUUCACAUACUCCUUCAACUAUAUUAGUUGGAUGUACUUAUUUGGACGCCAAGUAUCCUAUCUCCAGGUAUUUCAGACCUUCAAUCCGUGUGCCCAUCAGGUGGAUCCUACUUCCAACCAAUUUUGUGGAAUCUGCAUUUCUUCACAGUGCAAAUACACAGACUUGCAACACAAAGAUUUUGGAUUUUGGAUUGGAAAAAGGUGUUGCCAUUUUCUCUACAGCUGGUACUGGCUUUGAAUUUUUUUUUGAAGAUCGGACAGAAAAUAUGACACCUGAGUGUCCUUCCAUAACCCCAAUACCAUAUUUGAUUAUGCUGGCAAGCCAUGAUAUUAAAGUUCACAAGUCACCACAAACACUAGCAUGCAAAUAAUCUAAAACUACUGUGUUUCUUUGGUUAUACAACAUUGAGUUACCACGAUGAAUAGAAUUAAGUGACGCGAAGAUACAACAAUCAGAGAUAUCUAAAUGUGAAAACUACAGGGAGACCCAUUCUUACACAUUUUCCUACUAUGAAACCCACCUUCACAAAAUCUCACGGGCACACCCAAAAGCAGCCAACAAAUUAUUUGGAGGACCAGAGUUUUCAAAAUUCGUUUAUUUUCUUUUUUAUUUCCCAGUUUAGCCUCACUUUCAGUUUCAGUAUAUCCUGUUUAUUUUCGAGAGAUUGAUUAUCGAGAGAUUGAUUCAAUUUACUCAGCGAGCU